rnacentral:rRNA from 1 species
UACGAAGGGGGCUAGCGUUGCUCGGAAUUACUGGGCGUAAAGCGCACGUAGGCGGCUUUCUAAGUCGGGGGUGAAAUCCUGGAGUUCAACUCCAGAACUGCCUUCGAUACUGGAGAGCUCGAGUCCGGGAGAGGUGAGUGGAACUGCGAGUGUAGAGGUGAAAUUCGUAGAUAUUCGCAAGAACACCAGUGGCGAAGGCGGCUCACUGGCCCGGUACUGACGCUGAGGUGCGAAAGCGUGGGGAGCAAACAGG